AGAGUUUGAUCCUGGCUCAGGAUGAACGCUGGCGGCGUGCUUAACACAUGCAAGUCGAACGAAGCACUUUUAUUUGAUUUCUUCGGAAUGAAGAUUUUAGUGACUGAGUGGCGGACGGGUGAGUAACGCGUGAGUAACCUGCCUUUCAGAGGGGGAUAACGUUCUGAAAAGAACGCUAAUACCGCAUAAGAUUGCAGCUUCGCAUGGAGCAGCAAUCAAAGGAGCAAUCCGCUGAAAGAUGGACUCGCGUCCGAUUAGGUAGUUGGUGAGGUAACGGCCCACCAAGCCGACGAUCGGUAGCCGACCUGAGAGGGUGAUCGGCCACAUUGGGACUGAGACACGGCCCAAACUCCUACGGGAGGCAGCAGUGAGGAAUAUUGGGCAAUGGAGGAAACUCUGACCCAGCAACGCCGCGUGGAGGAAGAAGGUUUUCGGAUCGUAAACUCCUGUCCUUGGAGACGAGUAGAAGACGGUAUCCAAGGAGGAAGCCCCGGCUAACUACGUGCCAGCAGCCGCGGUAAUACGUAGGGGGCAAGCGUUGUCCGGAAUAAUUGGGCGUAAAGGGCGCGUAGGCGGCUCGGUAAGUCUGGAGUGAAAGUCCUGCUUUUAAGGUGGGAAUUGCUUUGGAUACUGUCGGGCUUGAGUGCAGGAGAGGUUAGUGGAAUUCCCAGUGUAGCGGUGAAAUGCGUAGAGAUUGGGAGGAACACCAGUGGCGAAGGCGACUAACUGGACUGUAACUGACGCUGAGGCGCGAAAGUGUGGGGAGCAAACAGGAUUAGAUACCCUGGUAGUCCACACUGUAAACGAUGAAUGCUAGGUGUAGGGGGUAUCGACCCCUUUUGUGCCGCAGUCAACACAAUAAGCAUUCCGCCUGGGGAGUACGGCCGCAAGGUUGAAACUCAAAGGAAUUGACGGGGGCCCGCACAAGCAGCGGAGCAUGUGGUUUAAUUCGACGCAACGCGAAGAACCUUACCAGGUCUUGACAUCCACUUAAACUUACAGAGAUGUAAGGUGUGCUUGCACAAAGUGAGACAGGUGGUGCAUGGUUGUCGUCAGCUCGUGUCGUGAGAUGUUGGGUUAAGUCCCGCAACGAGCGCAACCCUUAUGGUCAGUUACUAACGGGUAAAGCCGAGGACUCUGACAAGACUGCCGGGGACAACUCGGAGGAAGGUGGGGACGACGUCAAAUCAUCAUGCCCCUUAUGACAUGGGCUACAAACGUGCUACAAUGGCGGCUACAAAGAGGGGCGAGACUGUAAAGUUGAGCGGAUCUCAAAAAAGCCGUCUCAGUUCGGAUUGUGGGCUGCAACCCGCCCACAUGAAGUUGGAGUUGCUAGUAAUCGCGGAUCAGCAUGCCGCGGUGAAUACGUUCCCGGGCCUUGCACACACCGCCCGUCA
rnacentral:rRNA from 1 species